ensembl:lncRNA
CAUUCCUCCGCCUGGUUUCACACGUUGGGGAGGGAGGAAACCUUUCCAGUCUUCGUGUUUGGGUUGAAGCCGGCGGGCCGGCGGGCAGCACCGGGUUCAUCCCGGUCACGUUUACACCCGGACCGCAGCUGCGUCAACACCUCGGCCAACGGCAAAGCCUCCGCUGAUACUGACAAUCUGCCAGUGUGUCGCGGGGGGGCUGAGAUAACAGGGAUAACAGGCUUUUGACUGACGGGAGAUAGCGCAGAAGCGCGACGCACAAAAGCACUACUUUCAGGCCGCGCUGCUCAUCUCGUCUGGAAGCCUGAUGAAAGCGGAUCAAAUACGACUGACACCGGGAGGGGAGGAGACGGAGGGAGACGCGGCCCCGGGCGAGAGACGAGGCAGAACAAUGGGCCUAAAUGUGCCGUCGCUGCGGCGGAGGCGGCGCGGAGCAGGAGCCGGCUGAAUGUGGUAUCGGAGGGCAUCGAUUCCACCCGCUCGCUCGCUGGAUUGGACACUCUCUGGAGGAGGAGGAGAGGAGAGAGGAAGAAAGAGUGAGAAGGGGAGAUGGAGGCAUGUGCUUCUUUAAUCCUCCUCCGAGGCGUGAAGCAAAAAGCUAAUCUAGAGAUUUAUAACAUAUCUUUUGUGUGCGUUUAUCUUUUUAAUAAAAGCCUAAUUAAAGUAUAUCUUGGCUGGGAAACGUAAAGAAUAGCUGGGAGUCGCUGCGGCUGAUGGGAAGGACAUUCGCUGUGCAGGUAGAAAUAAUAGAGAACAGAAUGGCGGAAAAGUCACGUGGUCACCAAGGACAAUAAUUUAGGUUAGUGCGGAUAUUUCACUGGUUACGGGGAACUUUGCCCACUUACAUAAAACAAGACAAAACCAGGUGAAAAACUGCAUCAAUUCCGCUUUACAAUUAAAGCGUUUACCUGCCGAUAGUGUAGAAGGUCAUGACCAUUGACGUGAUGAAACCCUGCAGGGAACA